GGGGACGACUUGGCUUCGACAGGACUAAGUGGCUUUCGAUUGCAUGCCGGACUGAGCACUUCCGUUACGCGGCUCAAACUUGCUUAAACGCAAACAAUACAAAUUACCGCCCAGCUUACGCAGUAGCAUAAGUUUUACCCCUCCGCAAGGAGACGGGCUGCUUCACCUAAUGACUCUAGAUAGUUAGGACUCGAAGUAUAACCCUAAUGUAGAUAUAUUUUACGUCUCGUCUCGUGCGUAGAAUGAACCCAGAGGCUCGUCUUGUGUGGCUUUGCAAGUUGUGUGAAGCAAGAUUAAACUUUAACGACUUUUCUAAGCAUGUAGACGUUGGGAGUAGCUUGGUUUUGGACUCCGGUUCGAUUCCGGACGUCUCCACCA
rnacentral:tmRNA from 1 species